rnacentral:rRNA from 1 species
GGUCGCGCGGAUCUUCAGAGAUUAGAGUUUGAUCCUGGCUCAGGAUGAACGCUAGCGGCGUGCCUAAUGCAUGCAAGUCGGACGGCAGGCUUUGAGGAGGUCUAUGACCGAGACAAGGCCGAGAGUGGCGCACGGGUGAGUAAGACGUAGGUGACCUACCCAGGAGAGGGGGACAACCACUGGAAACGGUGGCUAAUACCGCGGAUGUUGGUUUGGUUAGGACGGACCAACUGAAGGUGGGUGGCUGGAGACAGCGACACAUGCUCCUGGAGGGGCCUGCGGGCCAUCAGCUAGUUGGUGGGGUAAGAGCCUACCAAGGCGAAGACGGCUAGGGGGCGUGAGAGCGCGACCCCCCACACUGGUACUGACACACGGACCAGAUACCUGCGGGUAGCAGCAGCAAGGAAUAUUGCGCAAUGGGGGCAACCCUGACGCAGCAACGCCGCGUGGAGGAAGACGUCUUUCGGGAUGUAAACUCCUUUUGUGGGGGAAGAAGGCGGCGGUCUAACGACCGCGAGGUGCUUGACGGUACCCCAAGAAAAAGGCCCGGCUAACUACGUGCCAGCAGCCGCGGUAAAACGUAGGGGUCGAGCGUUAUCCGGAAUUACUGGGCGUAAAGCGCGUGCAGGCGGCGUGGCAAGUGGGACGUGAAAGCUCCUGGCUCAACUGGGAGAGGACGUUCGAGACUGCCAGGCUCGAGAACGGUAGAGGCGAGUGGAAUUCCCGGUGUAGUGGUGAAAUGCGUAGAUAUCGGGAGGAACACCAGAGGCGAAGGCGGCUCGCUGGGCCGGUUCUGACGCUCAGACGCGAAAGCCAGGGGAGAGAACGGGAUUAGAAACCCCGGUAUUCCUGGCAGUAAACGAUGUCAACCAGGUGUAGGGGGUGUCAAAGCCUUCUGCGCUGCAGCUAACGCAGUAAGUUGACCGCCUGGGGAGUACGGGCCGCAAGGCUAAAACUCAAAGGAAUU